UAGGGAAUCUUCCACAAUGGACGCAAGUCUGAUGGAGCAACGCCGCGUGAGUGAAGAAGGUUUUCGGACCGUAAAGCUCUGUUGUUGGUGAAGAAGGAUAGAGGUAGUAACUGGCCUUUAUUUGACGGUAAUCAACCAGAAAGUCACGGCUAACUACGUGCCAGCAGCCGCGGUAAUACGUAGGUGGCAAGCGUUGUCCGGAUUUAUUGGGCGUAAAGCGAGCGCAGGCGGAAGAAUAAGUCUGAUGUGAAAGCCCUCGGCUUAACCGAGGAAUUGCAUCGGAAACUGUUUUUCUUGAGUGCAGAAGAGGAGAGUAGAACUCCAUGUGUAGCGGUGGAAUGCGUAGAUAUAUGGAAGAAUACCAGUGGCGAAGGCGGCUCUCUGGUCUGCAACUGACGCUGAGGCUCGAAAAGCAUGGGUAGCGAACAGGAUUAGAUACCCUGGUAGUCCAU
rnacentral:rRNA from 1 species